CCUACGGGUGGCAGCAGUGAGGAAUAUUGGUCAAUGGGCGCGAGACUGAACCAGCCAAGUAGCGUGAAGGAUGACUGCCCUACGGGUUGUAAACUUCUUUUAUAAAGGAAUAAAGUGAGGCACGUGUGCCUUUUUGUAUGUACUUUAUGAAUAAGGAUCGGCUAACUCCGUGCCAGCAGCCGCGGUAAUACGGAGGAUCCGAGCGUUAUCCGGAUUUAUUGGGUUUAAAGGGAGCGUAGAUGGGUUGUUAAGUCAGUUGUGAAAGUUUGCGGCUCAACCGUAAAAUUGCAAUUGAUACUGGCAGUCUUGAGUACAGUUGAGGUAAGCGGAAUUCGUGGUGUAGCGGUGAAAUGCUUAGAUAUCACGAAGAACCCCGAUUGCGAAGGCAGCUUACUAAACUGUGACUGACAUUGAUGCUCGAAAGUGUGGGUAUCAAACAGGAUUAGAUACCCGAGUAGUC
rnacentral:rRNA from 1 species